UACGGGGGGGGGCAAGCGUUGUUCGGAAUUACUGGGCGUAAAGGGCGCGUAGGCGGCCUACUAAGUCGGACGUGAAAUCCCUCGGCUCAACCGAGGAACUGCGUCCGAUACUGGUGGGCUUGAAUCCGGGAGAGGGAUGUGGAAUUCAAGGUGUAGCGGUGAAAUGCGUAGAUAUCUGGAGGAACACCGGUGGCGAAGGCGGCAUCCUGGACCGGUAUUGACGCUGAUGCGCGAAAGCCAGGGGAGCAAACGGG
rnacentral:rRNA from 1 species